rnacentral:rRNA from 2 species
GGAACUCCAUGUGUAGCGGUGAAAUGCGUAAUAUAUGGAAGAACACCAGUGGCGAAGGCGGCUGUCUGGUCUGUAACUGACGCUGAGGCUCGAAAGCAUGGGUAGCGAACAGGAUUAGAUACCCUGGUAGUCCAUGCCGUAAACGAUGAAUGCUAGGUGUUGGAGGGUUUCCGCCCUUCAGUGCCGCAGCUAACGCAUUAAGCAUUCCGCCUGGGGAGUACGACCGCAAGGUUGAAACUCAAAGGAAUUGACGGGGGCCCGCACAAGCGGUGGAGCAUGUGGUUUAAUUCGAAGCAACGCGAAGAACCUUACCAGGUCUUGACAUCUUUUGAUCACCUGAGAGAUCAGGUUUCCCCUUCGGGGGCAAAAUGACAGGUGGUGCAUGGUUGUCGUCAGCUCGUGUCGUGAGAUGUUGGGUUAAGUCCCGCAACGAGCGCAACCCUUAUGACUAGUUGCCAGCAUUUAGUUGGGCACUCUAGUAAGACUGCCCGGUGACAAACCGGAGGAAGGUGGGGAUGACGUCAAAUCAUCAUGCCCCUUAUGACCUGGGCUACACACGUGCUACAAUGGAUGGGUACAACGAGUUGCGAGACCGCGAGGUCAAGCUAAUCUCUUWAAAGCCAUUUCUCAGUUCGGACUGURGGCUGCAACUCGCC